CAGUGUAGGUGACUAAAAUACAAUUUUCAGAUAAAAAAUACUAAUCUUCCGUGAAGUAUUUCUACUCAGCCUGGGCACUCAGUUGCACUGGUUGUUCGGUCAGCAAAAAGUCCCACAUGGACAGGCCAAAGAACUUCGGAGGGAGUGACUGCUGACCCCCAGGUCCCUGCCGAGUUUCCAGCCCAAGCCUCUCAGAACUGGAGUACCACACCUCGGCGCCAGGCAUCAGGAAUGACCCCACCCGACAACACCCCAACCCAAAAAGCAGAGGGUGGUGAGCAUCAUCCGGGAGGCCGUGGCCAUUGAGCAGGAGUUCCUGACGGAGGCGCUGCCCUGUGCCCUCAUUGGCAUGAACUGUGACCUCAUGAAGCAAUACAUAGAGUUUGUGGCAGACCAUCUGCUUGUUGAGCUGAAGUGUGAGAAGAUCUACAGGGUGGAAAAUCCGUUUGACUUCAUGGAGAUGAUCUCCAUGCCUGGCAAGACAAACUUCUUCGAGCGCAGGGUGGGGGAGUACCAGAAGUGUGGCGUCAUGAGCUCCCCUCAGGACAGAACUUUCACCCUCGACGCUGACUUCUAAUCUGGACAGAAUCUUCACCCUCGAUGCUGACUUCUGAUCUGGACAGAACCUUCACCCUCGAUGCUGACUUCUGAGCUGGACAGAACCUUCUCCCUCAACGCUGACUUCUGAUCUGGACAGAACCUUCUCCCUCAACGCUGACUUCUGAUCUGGACAGAACCUUCUCCCUCAACGCUGACUUCUGAUCUGGACAGAACCUUCUACCUCAAUGCUGACUUCUGAUCAGGACAGAACCUUCACCCCUUGAUGCAGACUUUUGGUCAGGACAGAACCUUCACCCUCGACGCAGACUUCUAAUCUGAACAGAAUCUUCACCCUCGAUGCUGACUUCUGAGCUGGACAGAACCUUCACCCUCGACACUGACUUCUGAUCUGGACAGAACCGUCACCCUCGACGCUGACUUCUGAUCUGGACUGAACCUUCACCCUCGAUGCUGACUUCUGACUUGGACAGAACCUUCAACCCAGACCCUGACUUCUGAUCUGGACAGAACCUUCACCCUCAAUGCUGACUUCUGAUCUUUCUGAUCCGGACAGAACCUUCACCCUAGACGCAGACUUCUGAUCUGGACAGAACCUUCACCCUUGAUGCUGACUUCUGAUCUGGACAGAACCUUCACCCUUGAUGCUGACUUCUGAUCAGGACAGAACGUUCACCCUUGAUGCAGACUUCUGACUUACGCAGCUCCUUUGACCUCUUCUUUAGUUGCACCGCAGUGCCUUAGUUCAUCACGUUUCGUGAGCUAUUUGUGUUCAGCUUCCGUAAUUGUGUUCUAGUAUUAGUAUUGAGUGGUUGGUGGCUUUAUGCAACUAUCUUGAAGCGCUUGUAAACCUAUUUACUAUUGCUACCACUUGCGCAAGUACUGAAUAUUGGCCACUUAAUCAAGUGGAUAGAGCUACCAGUAGCGAUUGGCCAUUCUAUGAUUAAUCAUUAACAUGAAAGAUGAAAAUAAAUGGGCCAUUUAAUGAAGUGAUCUCAUUCCGGACUUGGAAUCUCGUACAAAAAGCUGAUUUCAGUGACACUGCUUGUGGAAUCUCGCUCAGUUCUCUGUUAAUUUUCUUGACUAUUCUGUGAUGUAGACAAUCACAGUGUUGGUGACGCUGCCUUCAUGUCAGCGUGGACACCUGGCCUCUGCUGUACUUGUCUUCCACUUCCUCAAUUAUUCAUUGCUAUUAAAUGAGUUUAUGAUUGUUGCAAGGAAUGCUUUCAUUCGCGUGCUAGGCCUGAUUUGAAGCAGAUACAUUGCAAAGCGCGCAAG